UACAGAGGGUGCUAGCGUUGUUCGGAAUCAUUGGGCGUAAAGGGCGUGUAGGCGGUUUGUUAAGUCAUGUGUGAAAUCCCUCGGCUCAACCGGGGAAGGACGCAUGAAACUGGCAAGCUAGAGUACCAAAGAGGGGGGUGGAAUUCCGGGCGUAGCGGUGAAAUGCGUAGAUAUCGGGAGGAACACCUGUGGCGAAGGCGGCCCCCUGGUUGGAUACUGACGCUGAUACGCGAAAGCGUGGGGAGCAAACAGG
rnacentral:rRNA from 1 species